rnacentral:lncRNA from 1 species
AAUGUUUCCAGGGUAGCCUACCUUCUCCUGGGACUUUUGCAUCCAUUGCGUACUGCAAGGCCCCUUCUGAGAGCUGAUGGUAGUUCCUUUCAGAAAAACAAACAAAACUGCAUGACCCUGAAAGAGAUCUGAGGUCUGGGGUCCAGAGACAAUCUGCUUCUGAAGCAGCUUCAGUUUCAAAGGAAGUAGAUUCUACGACAUGGAAUUUCUUUAAGAUCAUCCAAGGCCUCAGUUUUCAGUACCUGGCUGUUAACUGUCAGUCUUCAUACAGUUCAUUGUCCUAUUUGGUCUUAACAAUUUUGUGAGAUUCAUCAGAAUUCAGGGGGUUACAAAUGCAGCAACAGACCACCCGUAUCUUCAAGGGCAUUCUAGUAAAUGUUCACUUAAAGGGAACUCUGUGCCAAGCACUAUACAACGUACAGGGGAUGUAUGAAUGAAAGAGUGACUGAAAAUUCCACUUUGGAAAUUUCUGAGCCGGUGUCAAAGCCUGUCAGGAUACUGCCUCUUGAUGCCAAGAACACAUCAUUUAUCAACAGUGGUGAGUCAUUUGUGAGCUGAUCUGACCUGUCGGCGGCUGAGGAGUAGUCGCAGCUUUUAUCUUUAGCUACUGUUGCUGGCUGUGGGAAUGGUACCAUCCAUCCAUUUGUAAUCAAACACAAUGUACCAAGCAAUUUCUUAAAAAGCCAACACCUUGGCUGAACAGCUAAGGGUGGAAGAGAGUGAUGGGGAGGAAGGGAAAUGGAUUCUUUUUUUAGCACCUACUUUGGAUCAGACAUUCUCCUAGACACUUUAUAACCUUAUCUCAUUUAAUUCUUACAGCAGCCUUGUGGAGUAGGUGCUAUUAUCUCCGGGUGUGGAUAAGGAAAUUGAACUUCAGAGACAUAAAGUAACUUAGCCAAGGUCACACAGUGAGUAAUCAGGGCUGGAGUCUGGAUUUGCACUCAAGGGCCACAGGCUAUUUUGAUGCUAUGAAGACAUAGAGAGUAAGGUGAGAUAAUUUUAACAUGAGGAUUCUCAAGCCAGAUGUCCCCAAAUGUCCUCUAAUAUAGAGAUGACUUGGGUAGGUGAUUUACACCUGUGGUUCUGAAGGAUUUACAUGAGGCUGGUAGGACUGGAAACCAGAACUGCUUCAGCGGUAUGCUCAGUGAGUGCAAAAUAAAUAAAUGAAGUGAGUUUUUAAAUUCUUGGAC